CGGGCCGGGACUAUACGGUUGUGUCUGUCAGACCAGGUUAUUUAUCAUGUGAUGGAUGAGAAUUCGCCGAAGAAGAUCUGGGAGAAGCUAGAAAGUCAGUUUAUGUCCAAGACUGCGACGACCAAGGUGUAUCUGAAGCAAAAGUUGUAUGAUAUGAGGAUGCAGGAGGGGUCAGAUCUUGUGGAGUGUAUGAACGCUUUUAAUCAAGUCGUGAUGGACAGCACGCUUGGGUGCGACGGUUGA
rnacentral:rRNA from 1 species